rnacentral:rRNA from 1 species
UGAGGAUGCCCUCCGUCGUCUGAUCAUGCCGCUUAUGACCUCGGCUACUCUCGUGCUACAAUGGACAGUACUAAGGGCAGCGAAACCGCGAGGUUAAGCCAAUCCCACAAAUCUGUUCUCAGUUCGGAUCGCAGUCUGCAACUCGACUGCGUGAUGCUGGUAUCGCUAGUAAUCGCCGAUCACGGUCGUCGGCGCCAU